rnacentral:lncRNA from 1 species
UGAAAGGAGCGAGGGAUCUAGGAUUCAACUCAAGGAGAGAAAAAAAAAAAGAAUAAAUAUAUGUGAAAAUGGACGUGCCGAGAUGUUGGAUUUAUCGUCCUGGAGUUUAAGAAAGACGUAUUUGAAGAACGCUUUGAGAUUUAGAUCCUGAGUGGCCAGUUUCAGGGCAGUGUUUCCAUUUCUGAACGGGAUCUUUAGGAGUGUGAUGGCUGCUGGCCUUCCCUUUCUCUAGUUGCUGGAUGUGUUGGAAAGUGCACUGCUUUGGGAGCAUUUUUGGAAUUCCGUACGCAAAUCCAGAAGCAUUUCCACCUUUCUCUAUGGAAUGUACAUAAGUAUUCUCUGGAUAGGGGUUCGCGUGUGGGGCCAAAAUGUGGGUGACUGGGAAGUUGACAUCAAUACGUUGAGGCUACUGUUCUCCUUCUCCCCACACCCUGGCAGUCUGAGGAAUCAGACGUUACUGUGACAAA